AUUGAACGCUGGCGGCAGGCCUAACACAUGCCAGUCGAACGGUAACAGGAAGAAGCUUGCUUCUUUGCUGACGAGUGGCGGACGGGUGAGUAAUGUCUGGGAAACUGCCUGAUGGAGGGGGAUAACUACUGGAAACGGUAGCUAAUACCGCAUAACGUCGCAAGACCAAAGAGGGGGACCUUCGGGCCUCUUGCCAUCGGAUGUGCCCAGAUGGGAUUAGCUAGUAGGUGGGGUAACGGCUCACCUAGGCGACGAUCCCUAGCUGGUCUGAGAGGAUGACCAGCCACACUGGGACUGAGACACGGUCCAGACUCCUACGGGAGGCAGCAGUGGGGAAUAUUGCACAAUGGGCGCAAGCCUGAUGCAGCCAUGCCGCGUGUAUGAAGAAGGCCUUCGGGUUGUAAAGUACUUUCAGCGGGGAGGAAGGGAGUAAAGUUAAUACCUUUGCUCAUUGACGUUACCCGCAGAAGAAGCACCGGCUAACUCCGUG
rnacentral:rRNA from 1 species